CCUACGGGCGGCAGCAGUGAGGAAUAUUGGUCAAUGGACGAGAGUCUGAACCAGCCAAGUAGCGUGAAGGAUGACUGCCCUAUGGGUUGUAAACUUCUUUUAUAAAGGAAUAAAACGAGGCACGUGUGCCUUUUUGCAUGUACUUUAUGAAUAAGGAUCGGCUAACUCCGUGCCAGCAGCCGCGGUAAUACGGAGGAUCCGAGCGUUAUCCGGAUUUAUUGGGUUUAAAGGGAGUGUAGGCGGAUAUGUAAGAUAGCGGUGAAAUGCCGGGGCUCAACCCCGGAACUGCCAUUAUGACUAUGUAUCUAGAGUAAUGGAGAGGAUAGCGGAAUACCCAGUGUAGAGGUGAAAUUCGUAGAUAUUGGGUAGAACACCGGUGGCGAAGGCGGCUAUCUGGCCAUUUACUGACGCUGAGGCUCGAAAGCAUGGGGAUCAAACAGGAUUAGAUACCCCAGUAGUC
rnacentral:rRNA from 1 species